UGCGGUGAGAUAAGGGCAGGGCGCGGGGGGCUGGGGGUGUCUUUAUGGCUCUAUUUAUCUUUGAUUAGAUAAGUCGAAGCCCUUAUUUUAAGCACACUCCAGAACGCUUUGGAUUCAGGAAUGAGUUCGUUCCGCGGGUGCUAAGAGCCAUCGUGGGGCUCUUUAAAACCUGUUUGUCCUCACUAAGACAGUCGGAUUUAUUUGACCUACCAAGUCGGAUUUAUUUGAGUUCACUGCUCCGAGGGAAGAAGAGCCCGCUCCCGGCCGCGGGGCUCGGAGCCGGGGCGGGCGGCGCUCCGUGCCCGCAGCCUCUGCCCGAGCCACGACGUGGGAAAGGCCGAUAUUUUCCUAAAUCCGGAUUGUUGUUUUUCCCACGUACUUCGCGUCUCGGGGCUGUUUAAAUUAAGCCCCUGCCACCCAGUCUGUACAGCGACUGUACUAUGUCCGCUGGAGUCAGGGCGCUUCCAUAUCCCAUGACCAUGUGUCUGGUAAUUUUCCCUUGCCAUUUUAUUUUAGUACUUAUGAUGUUGCAGAUGAAGUCUUAAAGAGCUUCAAUGUCCUCCCAGAAGGAAUGUCUACUUGGAACAGAUCCUUAUUGACAAGGCAGCUGUGUGGGGACCGGAACGGAGCCUUAAACCCGGCUCUAAAAUCAACUAAUACCCUAAAGUCUGGAGCAAGUGCGCAGAAUUAUAAGGCAUGGGCUCGCCCGCGGCCGCGUCCUGGAGGAGCAGCGCCCUGCCCAGCCUAGGGAUGGGUUCCCCCAUCCCUCAUUUCUAUUGUUAUUCAUUUUAAAUUUUAUUUCCUCCUUUCUAAUGAGGUGCUCAGCCCCGGAAGAGCACGGACCUGAGGGUUUGUAACUUCUGGAUGAGGAGGAGAGAAAAGCAACGCGGGACUGGGGAAGACCCUGGGCAUUGUAACGAGAGCGGGCUUCUCUUGCCCUCAGAGUUCUCCUUUUUUUUUUUUUUUUUUUUUUUUUUUUUUUUCCUUUUUUUUUUUUUUUUUUUUUUUUUCCCUUUUUUUUUUUUUUUUUUUUUUUUUUUUCCUCCUUUAAAAGGCCGACCAAAACAAACACCGCUCUUGAUGGGAAUAAGCAAAUGAUCCCGAUGCGAUCGGCGGAAGAGCUGACAGACACGGGCGAGGGCUGAGCAGAGGCUUCCUCGCGAUUCUUGAGCGGGGCUUUAUUCUCCCCUCUCACCAAAAUUCACAAAAAGAGGGAACAGACCCGCCGGGGUCUAUCUGGGAGUUGCUGCAGGCAAGGACCGCUGCGCAUCAAUGUUCGUUAAGGCUCCGGGGUUGGUUUUCCUAAAAAUUGGGAACCUUUCAUUUCGAACCACGGGAAGAGGCAAAUGUAUUUCCAGAACACCCCAUCCCAUUUAACCCUUGAAAAAAAAAAUCACAAAAGCAACAACAAAAAUGAGAGUUUCGAGCCGCUCAAAAAAUAAAAACAAACCAUAAACAAGGAAGAUGCAAAUAAACAAAAAGCCACCGAACAAGACAACGGCGCAGAGCUGCCGCCGGCCCCUCUCGGUGCUUCCUUUGCCGGCGGAGCAGGAGCAGCCCGGCAGCAUCACCCGGAGCAUCUCCCCGCUGCCCGGCCGGCCGGAGCUCCCGGGCUGCCCCCGCCGCCGGGGCCUGGCUCCUCCGCGCCCGCGGAGAGGUGGCAGCCGAGCGAGGGGGCCUCCGCUGCUCGCCCCCAUUGCCCGGGCACCCAUCGGCUCUGUUUGUGCGGAAAAUUCAUUUAUUCCCUUAUUUAUUCGAUGUAUUUAUACAGCUAGGGCGGGGGUGAAGAUGGAGCCCACGCAACACGCUGCGGGUUUUUCCUCGAUUUCGCCAGAAAAUCAAAACAAAGCAGAAAAAAAAAAAAGUACGAGGUUCUGGAGGAAACAAACAGCGCAACAAAACAAAACCAACAGCGGGUUUUUGGGAGCCGCUUCUCGUCGGGAUGAGAACCGGGGCUGAAGGCUGGGAACCGGCGGGGCAGAAACACAACGCUGCCACUCGCCGAACAUUUCGAAGGCGAAAUCCAAAACCGACCCAUUAAGUCAAUGAGGUUUAUGUUGUAGAGGCUCCUUUCCCAUCCACUUGCUGUUCUGAAAAAUAGAUCGCAUUUCGUUAUCUCGAGUGAGGAUCUGCAACGUGAUACCGGAUCCGCGCCGCCUUCCCCGCCGAAUGCGAGGCGCAGGGAGACAGCCAGCUUCCCGGCUUAUUCCCCAACAAUAAAGGAUUUGUAUUUUCUUUC